rnacentral:rRNA from 1 species
GAUGAACGCCGGCGGCGUGCCUAAUACAUGCAAGUCGAGCGAACAGACGAGGAGCUUGCUCCUCUGACGUUAGCGGCGGACGGGUGAGUAACACGUGGAUAACCUACCUAUAAGACUGGGAUAACUUCGGGAAACCGGAGCUAAUACCGGAUAAUAUAUUGAACCGCAUGGUUCAAUAGUGAAAGACGGUUUUGCUGUCACCUAUAGAUGGACCCGCGCCGCAUUAGCUAGUUGGUAAGGUAACGGCUUACCAAGGCAACGAUGCGUAGCCGACCUGAGAGGAUGGUCGGCCACACUGGAACUGAGACACGGUCCAGACUCCUACGGGAGGCGGCAGUAGGGAAUCUUCCGCAAUGGGCGAAAGCUUGACGGAGCAACGCCGCGUGAGUGAUGAAGAUCUUCGGAUCGUAAGACUCUGUUAUUAGGGAAGAACAAAUGUGUAAGUAACUAUGCACGUCUUGACGGUACCUAAUCAGAAAACCACGGCUGACUACGUG